rnacentral:lncRNA from 1 species
CCUUGAGUUUAAAUGAAGAAGAUGGUGGUAGUCCAUAUUUACUAGGUGGAGAAACUGAGGAAUUGAAGAUUUAACACUCAAGGAGCCAGACUUAUGGAUGGUAUAUUCCCAUGCUUUCAUGACUGCUGCAGCAGCAGAAAAGGUGCAAUGAAAGCUUCAAGCAUGUAGAGAGAAAAACAACAGGACAUCUCACCCAAAGAGAUCAACCUCCGCAGUGGGCAAAGGUUGCCAAAAUAGGCAACCUUCUACCUGGAUCAAUUUCCACAGUAGGCGAUGGAGCCAAAGAAGCCAUGGAGAAGUUAGUUUCCACCCAGUUAUUCCUCUCCUGGCUCCAUCCUUGCUUGAAAAUUUCUUAAUGAAAAUAAGUCCUAGCUGAGCAUAGAGAAAGCAUGUCAAAGCAAAUUCUGUCUAUAUUAAGACCUAUACACAUUGCUAGCAAGAUUCCACUAUUUAGUGGGAAGCAUAC